AUUGAACGCUGGCGGCAGGCCUAACACAUGCAAGUCGCACGAGUGGCGGACGGGUGAGUAAUGUAUGGGGAUCUGCCUGAUGGAGGGGGAUAACUACUGGAAACGGUAGCUAAUACCGCAUACCAUCGGAUGUACCCAUAUGGGAUUAGCUAGUAGGUGGGGUAACGGCUCACCAAGGCGACGAUCCCUAGCUGGUCUGAGAGGAUGAUCAGCAAAACUGGGAUGGAGACACGGGCCAGACUCCUACGGGAGGCAGCAGUGGGGAAUAUUGCACAAUGGGCGCAAGCCUGAUGCAGCCAUGCCGCGUGUAUGAAGAAGGCCUUAGGGUUGUAAAGUACUUUCAGCGGGGAGGCGUUACCCGCAGAAGAAGCACCGGCUAACUCCGUGCCAGCAGCCGCGGUAAUAC
rnacentral:rRNA from 1 species